GCCUGUGUUGGUGCGGGAAUAGAGGAUCCAUGGAUGACAGUGGACAACCCUCUCGCGAUUUUGUAAACAGCAGGUCAGGAGUUCGAGUCUCCUCGUAGGCU
rnacentral:tRNA from 1 species